GUGAGCUGUUAGGGAUGCGGGUUGGGGUCUGCAGGGCGGUGCGGCCGCUGCCGCCUGAUGCCACACCCUUGUCUGUGUCCCACAG
rnacentral:miRNA from 1 species